UACGUAGGGUGCGAGCGUUAAUCGGAAUUACUGGGCGUAAAGCGCGUGUAGGCGGCAAUACAAGUCGGAUGUGAAAUCCCGCGGCUUAACCGUGGAAGUGCACCCGAAACUGUAUCGCUAGAGUCCCGGAGAGGAUGGUGGAAUACUUGGUGUAGAGGUGAAAUUCGUAGAUAUCAAGUGGAACACCGGUGGCGAAGGCGGCCAUCUGGACGGUGACUGACGCUGAGACGCGAAAGCGUGGGUAGCAAACAGG
rnacentral:rRNA from 1 species